GGGGAGGAAAGUCCGGGCUCCAUAGGGCAGGGUGCCAGGUAACGCCUGGGGGGGAAACCCACGACCAGUGCAACAGAGAGCAAACCGCCGAUGGCCCACGCAAGUGGGAUCAGGUAAGGGUGAAAGGGUGCGGUAAGAGCGCACCGCGCGGCUGGUAACAGUCCGUGGCACGGUAAACUCCACCCGGAGCAAGGCCAAAUAGGGGUUCACAAGGUACGGCCCGUACUGAACCCGGGUAGGCUGCUUGAGCCAGUGAGCGAUUGCUGGCCUAGAUGAAUGACUGUCCACGACAGAACCCGGCUUA
rnacentral:RNase_P_RNA from 1 species